UCGAACCUUCGGGGCAGGGUGAGGCGUAAGCCAAUUCCCGAUCGGUGGUGAUGCGUUAACGUCCCGUGAUCCGUUUAGUGGGACGUGGACGCCAGCCCACGAGCCACGAGUCCGUAGCGUGGUUGACCCGGUGCAAGUCUGGGGCCGACGGUAUAGUCCGGAUGGGAGAAGGUUAGA
rnacentral:ncRNA from 2 species